rnacentral:rRNA from 1 species
AGCUGUGACGUUACUGACAGAAGAAGCACCGGCUAACUCCGUGCCAGCAGCCGCGGUAAUACGGAGGGUGCGAGCGUUAAUCGGAAUUACUGGGCGUAAAGCGUACGCAGGCGGUUUGUUAAGCGAGAUGUGAAAGCCCCGGGCUCAACCUGGGAACUGCAUUUCGAACUGGCAAACUAGAGUGUGAUAGAGGGUGGUAGAAUUUCAGGUGUAGCGGUGAAAUGCGUAGAGAUCUGAAGGAAUACCGAUGGCGAAGGCAGCCACCUGGGUCAACACUGACGCUCAUGUACGAAAGCGUGGGGAGCAAACGGGAUUAGAUACCCCGGUAGUCCACGCCGUAAACGAUGUCUACUAGAAGCUCGGAGCCUCGGUUCUGUUUUUCAAAGCUAACGCAUUAAGUAGACCGGCCUGGGGAGUACGGCCGCAAGGUUA